rnacentral:lncRNA from 1 species
GAGGAAUGCAUACAUACUCUCUGACAGUGGAAUGAAGGAAAGUGGGAGGCCAUGAGAGCCGGAAUUCUCACGAGCAGCAGCGGCCCUGUGGCCCUCAGCAGAGGGACUGACUGGAAGCAGAUGUGGCACAAGUCUCCCCAUGCGGCUUCACUGUUGACUCUCAGGACAUCUACCCUGGGGACUUCCCGCACCAAGAAGACCCUGAGUCACAUGCUUGCUGCUGUCCCCAUCUAUGAUGGCUGUAAAUUCCAUUUGCCUGCUGCUGUCCAUGAAUGGAAGUCUACCUGGGACCCUCUCCUGACCUGGAGACCCACACAUCCAAAUGCCUACUUGGCAGCUCCCGUGGAUGUUUCGUGAUCAGCAUUCCCAACAGUGAAAUCCUGAAUGCUCUUCCCCAAAUCCACUCCACACACGGCCUUCCCUAUCCCUUGUGGUGGCAACUGAGUCCACUGUGGGUCCAUGGGCCCCCCUUUCUUUGACUCCCCAGCUCCAGUCCCCUAGCAAGACCAGCUGGAUCUGCUCUUUGGAUUGCCAGGAUCUGCCCACGUCUCAGGGCCCUCACUGCCUGGCCCACACAUGAUGCUCAAAGACACUCUCACACAUGUCCAAAUAUUUAAAAGUUAUACAUCAAACCCACAAACUUUAAUUUGAUAAGUAAAAAAUGUUUAAAUAAACAAUUUUAAAAGUA